UACAGAGGGGGCAAGCGUUAUUCGGAAUUAUUGGGCGUAAAGGGCGCGUAGGCGGCCUGGCAAGUGGAAGGUGAAAUCCCUCGGCUUAACCGAGGAACUGCCUCCCAAACUGCUUGGCUUGAGAGCAGGAGAGGUGAGUGGAAUUCCCAGUGUAGCGGUGAAAUGCGUAGAUAUUGGGAGGAACACCAGUGGCGAAGGCGGCUCACUGGACUGGUACUGACGCUGAGGCGCGAAAGCGUGGGGAGCAAACGGG
rnacentral:rRNA from 1 species